rfam:Gorilla gorilla gorilla genomic chromosome, chr22, whole genome shotgun sequence
GCCGGGCAUGGUGGUGCGUGCCUGUAGUCCCAGCUACCCGGGAGGCUGAGGCAGGAGAAUCGCUUGAACUCAGGAAGCCAAGAUUGCAGUGAGCUGAGACCGCACCACGGCACUCCAGCCUGGGCGACAGAGUGAGACUCUGUCUCUA